rnacentral:snRNA from 1 species
AUACCUUCCUCGACUUUUUGGCUAAGAUAAAAUGUAAUAUUUGUUCUUAUCGGUUUAAUAUUUGAUAUGUAGAAUACUAAUUUUUUUGGGUAUAAAAUAUGAUUGUGUGUCAUCGCAACACAC